rnacentral:rRNA from 1 species
GGUGUGAUGAGGUACUUUUUGUAGAACGGUCCGGCGAGUUAUAGUAACGAGCAAGCUUAAGGUAUUGAGUACCGGAGGCGAAGCGAGAGCGAGUCUGAAUAGGGCGUAAAGUUCGUUGCCAUAGACCCGAAACCGGGUGACCUAUCCAUGAGCAGGCUGAAGUGAGAGUAAAAUCUCAUGGAGGGCCGAACCGACCCCCGUUGCAAUGGUGGCGGAUGACUUGUGGAUAGCGGAGAAAUUCCAAUCGAACUCGGAGAUAGCUGGUUCUCCCCGAAAUAGCUUUAGGGCUAGCCUCGUUUUAAAUUACCGGGGGUAGAGCACUGAAUGGGCUAGGGGGCCACAAAGCUUACCGAACCCUAUCAAACUUCGAAUACCGGAUAAUUGAUGAACGGGAGUCAGACGGCGGGAGAUAAGUUUCGUCGUCAAAAGGGAAACAGCCCAGAUCUACGACUAAGGUCCCGAAAUCACAGUUAAGUGGAAAAGGAUGUGCAGUUGCACAGACAACCAGGAUGUUGGCUUAGAAGCAGCCACUCAUUUAAAGAGUGCGUAAUAGCUCACUGGUCGAGUGAUUGUGCGCCGAAAAUGUACCGGGGCUAAACUGUGUACCGAAGUCUAGGGAUCGUGAUAAACGAUCGGUAGGGGAGCAACGUGUGCGGGCUGAAGCCGAAGCGGAAGCGACGGUGGACUGCACGGGAGAGAGAAUGCCGGCAUGAGUAGCGAGAGCAAAGUGAGAAUCUUUGCCGUCGAAAGCCUAAGGUUUCCUGAGGAAGGCUCGUCCUCUCAGGGUAAGUCAGGACCUAAGCCGAGGACAAAAGUCGUAGGCGAUGGACAACUGGUUGAUAUUCCAGUACCACCUUUAGCGUUUGACUGAAGCAGUGACACAGAAGGAUAGACAGAGCGCGUGACUGGUAGAGCGCGUCCAAGCGAUGAGGGAGUUAAGUAGUGAAGCACGCUUAACAAUCCUGGGUCGUGAUGGGGACUGAAAAUAAGUAGGGAAGCUGUUGAAUUCACGCUGGCGAGAAAAGCUGCUAAGGAGCGAAAGGGUGCCUGUACCGCAAACCGACACAGGUAGGCGAGGAGAGAAUCCUAAGACGAGCGGGAGAACCCAUGUUAAGGAACUCGGCAAAAUGACCCUGUAACUUCGGGAUAAAGGGAGCCACGAGAGUGGCCGCAGAGAAUAGGCCCAAGCGACUGUUUACCAAAAACACAGGUCUGUGCGAAGUAGAGAUACGACGUAUACGGGCUGACGCCUGCCCAGUGCCGGAAGGUUAAGGGGAAGUGUUAGGGCAACCGAAGCACGGAACUUAAGCCCCGGUGAACGGCGGCCGUAACUAUAACGGUCCUAAGGUAGCGAAAUUCCUUGUCGGGUAAGUUCCGACCCGCACGAAAGGUGUAACGAUUUGGGCACUGUCUCAACGAGGGACCCGGUGAAAUUGAAAUACCUGUGAAGAUGCAGGUUACCCGCGACUGGACAGAAAGACCCCAUGGAGCUUCACUGCAGCUUGAGAUUGAAUCUCGGUGAUGCAUGCACAGGAUAGGUGGGAGACUUUGAAGUAUGGGCUUUGGCUUAUACCGAGUCGAUGUUGGGAUACCACCCUUGUAUUGCUGAGAUUCUAACACGGAGGCUAACAACCUCGUGGACCAUCUCAGGUAGGCGGUUUGACUGGGGCGGUCGCCUCCGAAAGAGUAACGGAGGCGCCCAAAGGUUCCCUCAGGUCGGACAGAAACCGACCGAAGAGUGCAAAGGCAGAAGGGAGCUUGACUGCGAGACAGACAAGUCGAGCAGAGACGAAAGUCGGGCUUAGUGAUCCGGUGGUACUGAGUGGAAAGGCCAUCGCUCAACGGAUAAAAGCUACCCUGGGGAUAACAGGCUAAUCUCUCCCAAGAGUUCAUAUCGACGGGGAGGUUUGGCACCUCGAUGUCGGCUCAUCACAUCCUGGAGCUGGAGUAGGUUCCAAGGGUUGGGCUGUUCGCCCAUUAAAGUGGUACGCGAGCUGGGUUCAAAACGUCGUGAGACAGUUUGGUUCAUAUCCAUCGCGGGCGCAAGAAGUUUGAGGGAGGCUGCUCCUAGUACGAGAGGACCGGAGUGGACGGAUCAACGGUGUACCAGUUGUCACGCCAGUGGCACGGCUGGAAAGCCGCAUCCGGAAAGGAUAAACGCUGAAAGCAUCUAAGCGUGAAGCCCGUCCCGAGAUGAGACUUCUCAUCAGCAAUGAGUAAGACCCCUUAAAGACGAUGAGGUUGAUAGGCUGUGAGUGGAAGGCCCGUAAGGGUUGGAGCGACGCAGUACUAAUAGGUCGAGGUCUUAACUUG